rnacentral:rRNA from 1 species
GUCCACGCCGUAAACGAUGUCGACUUGGAGGUUGUGCCCUUGAGGCGUGGCUUCCGGAGCUAACGCGUUAAGUCGACCGCCUGGGGAGUACGGCCGCAAGGUUAAAACUCAAAUGAAUUGACGGGGGCCCGCACAAGCGGUGGAGCAUGUGGUUUAAUUCGAUGCAACGCGAAGAACCUUACCUGGUCUUGACAUCCACGGAAGUUUUCAGAGAUGAGAAUGUGCCUUCGGGAACCGUGAGACAGGUGCUGCAUGGCUGUCGUCAGCUCGUGUUGUGAAAUGUUGGGUUAAGUCCCGCAACGAGCGCAACCCUUAUCCUUUGUUGCCAGCGAUUCGGUCGGGAACUCAAAGGAGACUGCCAGUGAUAAACUGGAGGAAGGUGGGGAUGACGUCAAGUCAUCAUGGCCCUUACGACCAGGGCUACACACGUGCUACAAUGGCGCAUACAAAGAGAAGCGACCUCGCGAGAGCAAGCGGACCUCAUAAAGUGCGUCGUAGUCCGGAUUGGAGUCUGCAACUCGACUCCAUGAAGUCGGAAUCGCUAGUAAUCGUGGAUCAGAAUGCCACGGUGAAUACGUUCCCGGGCCUUGUACACACCGCCCGUCACACCAUGGGAGUGGGUUGCAAAAGAAGUAGGUAGCUUAACCUUCGGGAGGGCGCUUACCACUUUGUGAUU